GACGAACGCUGGCGGCGUGCUUAACACAUGCAAGUCGAACGGUAAGGCCCUUCGGGGUACACGAGUGGCGAACGGGUGAGUAACACGUGGGUGAUCUGCCCUGCACUUCGGGAUAAGCCUGGGAAACUGGGUCUAAUACCGGAUAGGACCACUGCCUGCAUGGGUGGUGGUGGAAAGCUUUUGCGGUGUGGGAUGGUCCCGCGGCCUAUCAGCUUGUUGGUGGGGUGAUGGCCUACCAAGGCGACGACGGGUAGCCGGCCUGAGAGGGUGACCGGCCACACUGGGACUGAGAUACGGCCCAGACUCCUACGGGAGGCAGCAGUGGGGAAUAUUGCACAAUGGGCGCAAGCCUGAUGCAGCGACGCUGCGUGAGGGAUGACGGCCUUCGGGUUGUAAACCUCUUUCAGCACCGACGAAGCGCAAGUGACGGUAGGUGCAGAAGAAGGACCGGCCAACUACGUGCCAGCAGCCGCAGUAACAC
rnacentral:rRNA from 1 species